AAAUACAUGUAAUAUCAAAUAUCUUACUUUAGUAUUAGUACAUGAAGUACUUUUCAUUUUGAAGUACGGGAAUAAGAGUAAGAUGGAAUAUCUGAGAGGGCUACAUUAUUGCAGCUACAGUUAGAACUAUAUUUAAACUAACUAAACCUUCAGUGGCAUCAUUGACUAUUUGUACAUCAUUUUUUAUCAGAAUAUUUGAAAUUAUGAAUACCUGUAGUUACAUUUUAAUUGACUUUUUAUGUGUUUAGUGGUAUAUACAGUGUAUAUUUUGAUUCAUCCAUAUUUAUCUAGUCAAAAGAGUGAUUUAUUGAUUUUAUCAUUGAUUAUAUUGAUAUCAAAUGUUGAUUUUAUGAAGAUGUUGACAUCAAUGAAACAUAUCAAUUUAUUUAUUAUUAAUGACUACUUGUUUAUGAUCUGUACUCUUUUUUAUUGUGGCUGUAUGAUUAGUAUUUCAUGAGGUCAUAUUAAAUAAAUUAUCAAAUCAGCU
rnacentral:misc_RNA from 1 species